CCUACGGGGGACUGCAGUGAGGAAUAUUGGUCAAUGGACGAGAGUCUGAACCAGCCAAGUAGCGUGAAGGAUGACUGCCCUAUGGGUUGUAAACUUCUUUUAUAUGGGAAUAAAACGUUCCACGUGUGGGAUUUUGUAUGUACCAUAUGAAUAAGGAUCGGCUAACUCCGUGCCAGCAGCCGCGGUAAUACGGAGGAUCCGAGCGUUAUCCGGAUUUAUUGGGUUUAAAGGGAGCGUAGGUGGAUUGUUAAGUCAGUUGUGAAAGUUUGCGGCUCAACCGUAAAAUUGCAGUUGAAACUGGCAGUCUUGAGUACAGUAGAGGUGGGCGGAAUUCGUGGUGUAGCGGUGAAAUGCUUAGAUAUCACGAAGAACUCCGAUUGCGAAGGCAGUUCACUGGACUGCAACUGACACUGAGGCUCGAAAGUGUGGGUAUCAAACAGGAUUAGAUACCCUAGUAGUC
rnacentral:rRNA from 1 species